rnacentral:rRNA from 1 species
AUUGAACGCUGGCGGCAGGCUUAACACAUGCAAGUCGAGCGGAGAGAGGUAGCUUGCUACCGAUCUUAGCGGCGGACGGGUGAGUAAUGCUUAGGAAUCUGCCUAUUAGUGGGGGACAACAUUUCGAAAGGAAUGCUAAUACCGCAUACGUCCUACGAGAGAAAGCAGGGGAUCUUCGGACCUUGCGCUAAUAGAUGAGCCUAAGUCGGAUUAGCUAGUUGGUGGGGUAAAGGCCUACCAAGGUGACGAUCUGUAGCGGGUCUGAGAGGAUGAUCCGCCACACUGGGACUGAGACACGGCCCAGACUCCUACGGGAGGCAGCAGUGGGGAAUAUUGGACAAUGGGCGCAAGCCUGAUCCAGCCAUGCCGCGUGUGUGAAGAAGGCCUUAUGGUUGUAAAGCACUUUAAGCGAGGAGGAGGCUACUUUAGUUAAUACCUAGAGAUAGUGGACGUUACUCGCAGAAUAAGCACCGGCUAACUCUGUGCCAGCAGCCGCCGUAA